AUUGAACGCUGGCGGCAUGCUUUACACAUGCAAGUCGAACGGCAGCGCGGGCUUCGGCCUGGCGGCGAGUGGCGAACGGGUGAGUAAUACAUCGGAACGUGCCCAGUAGUGGGGGAUAGCUCGGCGAAAGCCGGAUUGAUACCGCAUACGACCUGAGGGUGAAAGCGGGGGAUCUUCGGACCUCGCGCUAUUGGAGCGGCCGAUGGCAGAUUAGCUAGUUGGUGGGGUAAAGGCCUACCAAGGCGACGAUCUGUAGCUGGUCUGAGAGGACGACCAGCCACACUGGGACUGAGACACGGCCCAGACUCCUACGGGAGGCAGCAGUGGGGAAUUUUGGACAAUGGGCGAAAGCCUGAUCCAGCAAUGCCGCGUGUGUGAUGAAGGCCUUCGGGUUGUAAAGCACUUUUGGCGGGAACGAAAAGGACUGUGCCAAUACCACGGUUCGAUGACGGUACCCGCAGAAUAAGCACCGGCUAACUACGUG
rnacentral:rRNA from 1 species